rnacentral:rRNA from 1 species
GACGAACGCUGGCGGCGUGCCUAAUACAUGCAAGUAGAACGCUGAAGGAGGAGCUUGCUUCUCUGGAUGAGUUGCGAACGGGUGAGUAACGCGUAGGUAACCUGCCUGGUAGCGGGGGAUAACUAUUGGAAACGAUAGCUAAUACCGCAUAAUAGUAGAUGUUGCAUGACAUUUGCUUAAAAGGUGCAAUUGCAUCACUACCAGAUGGACCUGCGUUGUAUUAGCUAGUUGGUGGGGUAACGGCUCACCAAGGCGACGAUACACAGCCGACCUGAGAGGGUGAUCGGCCACACUGGGACUGAGACACGGCCCAGACUCCUACGGGAGGCAGCAGUAGGGAAUCUUCGGCAAUGGACGGAAGUCUGACCGAGCAACGCCGCGUGAGUGAAGAAGGUUUUCGGAUCGUAAAGCUCUGUUGUAAGAGAAGAACGAGUAUGAGAG